GGAACAAUUAACUGUAGAUAGGCAGUCUUAAGCGGGUAAUAGUGUUGUGUAUUUUUGGAUUCCGUUGAGUAAGGCCUUAAUCUGUUAAAAUGGUAGGAAUUCUAUUUUUUGUCGGGGUAUUGUGUCAGCAUAUGGCAUUGGAUGCCUGAUAGGUAGCGUUUAAUGGUGCUAAAUUACAAUAUUAAAUUGAGGUGGCAAAAUGAAGUGAAACCUAAAAUGGAUUUCAUAGCAAACUUAACUCGUA